CCUACGGGCGGCAGCAGUGAGGAAUAUUGGUCAAUGGGCGCGAGCCUGAACCAGCCAAGUAGCGUGAAGGAUGACUGCUCUAGGGGUUGUAACCUUUUUUUAGAAAGGAAUAAAGUGAGGCACGUGUGCCUUUUUGUAUUUACUUUAUGAAUAAGGAUCGGCUAACUCCGUGCCAGCAGCCGCGGUAAUACGGAGGAUCCGAGUGUUAUCCGGAUUUAUUUGGUUUAAAGGGCGCGUAGCUGGGUUGUUAAGUCAGUUGUGAAAGUUUGCGGCUCAACCGUAAAAUUGCAAUUGAUACUGGCCGUCUUGAGUACAGUUGAGGUAGGCGGAAUUCGUGGUGUAGCGGUGAAAUGCUUAGAUAUCACGAAGAACUCCGAUUGCGAAGGCAGCUUACUAAACUGCCACUGACAUUGAGGCUCGAAAGUGUGGGUAGCAAACAGGAUUAGAUACCCGAGUAGUC
rnacentral:rRNA from 1 species